CGAUAUGGAAAAGCUUGAGGCUAAUAUAGCUGAAACCCUGAGCUUUCUUGAGACCGUUUUCGUGCCUUCAUUUUUUGAUAUCAUGGUACACUUGAUGGUACAUCUUCCUACCCAAGCAACGAUAGCUGGUCCCGUCCAUUUUCGUAGCAUGUGGCCCAUAGAGAGGUAUCUAAUGAGAUUGAAGGGUUCUGUUCAUACAAAGAGUCACUGUGAGGGAUCAAUUAUGGAAUGGUCUAUGUUUACUGAGUGUCUUACAUUUUGUGCUCGCUAUUUACAUGGUGAGACUCAAUUGAACCAUCAAGUUAGAUAUGAGUAUGACGAAGAUUGUACUACAACUCCUUUCUUCCAUACCAUUGGCCAAGGAUUGGCUGGGAAGUGUUUAGUUAAUUUAGACCAUAAAACAUGGCUACAAGCUCAUAGAUAUGUUUUGUUCAACUACGACAAUAUAACCCCUUACUUGGACAAGCAUGCUCACUAUUUGUCCUCAAUUGGUCAUCGAAAUAAAAGAGAUAUCAA